rnacentral:rRNA from 1 species
UGAGCUUGAUCCUGGCUCAGGAUGAACGCUAGCGGCAGGCUUAACACAUGCAAGUCGAGGGGUAUUAGUUUUCGGACUAAGAGACCGGCGCACGGGUGCGUAACGCGUAUGCAAUCUGCCUUUCACAGAGGGAUAGCCCAGAGAAAUUUGGAUUAAUACCUCAUAGUAUAAUGAGUUGGCAUCAACACAUUAUUAAAGUCACAACGGUGAAAGAUGAGCAUGCGUCCCAUUAGCUAGUUGGUAAGGUAACGGCUUACCAAGGCAACGAUGGGUAGGGGUCCUGAGAGGGAGAUCCCCCACACUGGUACUGAGACACGGACCAGACUCCUACGGGAGGCAGCAGUGAGGAAUAUUGGACAAUGGGCGCAAGCCUGAUCCAGCCAUGCCGCGUGCAGGAUGACGGUCCUAUGGAUUGUAAACUGCUUUUGUACGAGAAGAAACACUCCUAUGUAUAGGAGCUGACGG